rnacentral:rRNA from 1 species
UGGGAAUUUUGGACAAUGGGCGAAGCCUGAUCCAGCCAUGCCGCGUGCAGGAUGAAGGCCUUCGGGUUGUAAACUGCUUUUGUACGGAACGAAAAGACUCUGGUUAAUACCUGGGGUCCAUGACGGUACCGUAAGAAUAAGCACCGGCUAACUACGUGCCAGCAGCCGCGGUAAUACGUAGGGUGCAAGCGUUAAUCGGAAUUACUGGGCGUAAAGCGUGCGCAGGCGGUUAUAUAAGACAGAUGUGAAAUCCCCGGGCUCAACCUGGGAACUGCAUUUGUGACUGUAUAGCUAGAGUACGGCAGAGGGGGAUGGAAUUCCGCGUGUAGCAGUGAAAUGCGUAGAUAUGCGGAGGAACACCGAUGGCGAAGGCAAUCCCCUGGGCCUGUACUGACGCUCAUGCACGAAAGCGUGGGGAGCAAACAGGAUUAGAUACCCUGGUAGUCCACGCCCUAAACGAUGUCAACUGGUUGUUGGGUCUUCACUGACUCAGUAACGAAGCUAAACGCGUGAAGUUGACCGCCUGGGGAGUACGGCCGCAAGGUUGAAACUCAAAUGAAUUGAC